GGGAGGGGUCAGUGGGGGAGAUGGAGAGGAAGAAGCAGCAGUCUUCAUUCCUGUACAUCCCCUUUGAAGCUUGAGGAAUAGAGGACUCCUUUUUAAACAUAGAGGAAAUGGGCAAAGAUGGGAAGAAAACAUAUCCCUUCUCUCUCAUCAGUGUUCAGCUUCCGUAAAUCAUGAUUUUAUUUGAGAGAAGAAAUGGUAACUGGCAAAACAAAAUACUUGUCUGGGAAUGUUGAGUUAUGUCUAAGCAAGGAGUUGAAAAAUACCUAAUGGAUCCUAAACUAUUUACAAUGACCUUUUUCACAAGCUCAGGAUCAAAAUAAAGGAAAGGAG
rnacentral:lncRNA from 1 species